rnacentral:rRNA from 1 species
GACGAACGCUGGCGGCGUGCCUAAUACAUGCAAGUAGAACGCAGUUGCGAACGGGUGAGUAACGCGUAGGUAACUGCCUGGUAGCGGGGGAUAACUAUUGGAAAAGAUAGCUAAUACCGCAUCCUACCAGAUGGAACUGCGUUGGAUUAGCUAGUUGGGGGGGUACCGGCUAACCAGGGCAACGAUACAUAGCCGCCCUGCGAGGGUGAUCGGACACCCUGGGACUGAGACCCGGCCCAGACUCCUACGGGAGGCAGCAGUAGGGAAUCUUCGGCAAUGGGGGGAACCCUGACCGAGCAACGCCGCGUGAGGGAAGAAGGUUUUCGGAUCGUAAAGCUCUGUUGUUAAGGAAGCGGUACUUAACCAGAAAGGGACGGCUAACUACGUGCCAGCCGCCGCGGUAAUAC